AGCUCGUGAUUCAACUGCGGUUCUGGUGGAGACCAGCCACCAGAGGUAACGGGGAAAGUCCGGUGCAAGUCCGGCGCUGUCCCGCAACUGUGAUGGGCGAUCGCCCUGAGUCAGGAUGCCCGCCGCGCGAUGUUUACCCCU
rnacentral:ncRNA from 2 species